GGGGGCCAGAAUCAAAAAUUCUUUGCCAAUAUCGAUGUCAAGGAGCAUACCCCUUACGUUUUUUCUAGGAGUUUCAUGGUUUCAGGUCUUACAUUCAAGUCUUUA